AAAUGAUUUUCAUCGAAGUUUCGUAUUUACUUAUGCUUAAUGAGAAUAACGAUAAGUUCUACGGUUAGAACUUAUCGGUUUAUGCUUGAAUUCAAUGGGAUGGAAUUCAAGUGUUUUUAUCUUCUCAUAAUAUGGCAUAUAGAUAGGGGGAGUUAUGUUUAACUCCGUCAUCAAUUGAUUAUCAUCAUCAAAAAGGGGGAGAUUGUUGAAUCUCGGAUUUUAAUGAUAAAAUCA
rnacentral:lncRNA from 1 species